CCUGUGUCACACUGCUCCUCAUAAUCAUUGUGAAAUGUAUGUACAGAUAAUAUGUAAGGAAUUAUGUCUAUAUACUGAAAAUGAUGUUCUUAAGGUCUGUGACUUGGGGCUGGUCACCAAAAGGUGAGAAACAGGUUUCUUUCAGGCAAGAUGUGUUUAUCAGUUUAGCUGCAUGUUC